UACGUAGGGAUGCAAGCGUUGUCCGGAUUUACUGGGCGUAAAGCGCGCGCAGGCGGCACUCUAAGUACGUCGUGAAAUAUCCCGGCCUCAACCGGGAGGGUGCGAAUGUAGACGUAGGGAGCUAGGAGGUCGGUAGAGGGGGGUGGAAUUGCUGGUGUAGCGGUGAAAUGCGUAGAGAUCAGCAGGAACACCCGUGGCGAAGGCGGCCCCCUGGGCCGAUAAAAAGGUCCUGUC
rnacentral:rRNA from 1 species